GCCGUCAUAGCUUAGUGGCAAAGCACUCCCUUGGUAAGGGAGAGAGCGUGAGUCCGAUUCUCACUGACGGCUCAA
rnacentral:tRNA from 1 species